rnacentral:rRNA from 1 species
UACGAAGGGGGCUAGCGUUGCUCGGAAUCACUGGGCGUAAAGGGCGCGUAGGCGGACUCUUAAGUCGGGGGUGAAAGCCCAGGGCUCAACCCUGGAAUUGCCUUCGAUACUGAGAGUCUUGAGUUCGGAAGAGGUUGGUGGAACUGCGAGUGUAGAGGUGAAAUUCGUAGAUAUUCGCAAGAACACCAGUGGCGAAGGCGACUCACUGGACAUGUAUUGACGCUGAGGUGCGAAAGCGUGGGGAGCAAACAGG